GGACUACUGGGGUAUCUAAUCCUGUUUGAUCCCCACGCUUUCGUGCCUCAGCGUCAAUCGCUGUUUAGUGAGCUGCCUUCGCAAUUGGUGUUCUAUGUCAUAUCUAUGCAUUUCACCGCUACAUGACAUAUUCCGCCCACCUCAACAGAAUUCAAGGCUAAUAGUAUCAAUGGCAGUUUCCGGGUUGAGCCCGGAGAUUUCACCACUGACUUAAUAACCCGCCUACACACCCUUUAAACCCAGUGAAUCCGGAUAACGCUUGCACCCUCCGUAUUACCGCGGCUGCUGGCAC
rnacentral:rRNA from 1 species